rnacentral:rRNA from 1 species
CCUUCGAUGGAUAGGGGUUCUGAGAGGAAGGUCCCCCACAUUGGAACUGAGACACGGUCCAAACUCCUACGGGAGGCAGCAGUGAGGAAUAUUGGUCAAUGGGCGCAGGCCUGAACCAGCCAAGUAGCGUGAAGGAUGACUGCCCUAUGGGUUGUAAACUUCUUUUAUAUGGGAAUAAAGUUUUCCACGUGUGGAAUUUUGUAUGUACCAUAUGAAUAAGGAUCGGCUAACUCCGUGCCAGCAGCCGCGGUAAUACGGAGGAUCCGAGCGUUAUCCGGAUUUAUUGGGUUUAAAGGGAGCGUAGGUGGACAGUUAAGUCAGUUGUGAAAGUUUGCGGCUCAACCGUAAAAUUGCAGUUGAUACUGGCUGUCUUGAGUACAGUAGAGGUGGGCGGAAUUCGUGGUGUAGCGGUGAAAUGCUUAGAUAUCACGAAGAACUCCGAUUGCGAAGGCAGCUCACUGGACUGCAACUGACACUGAUGCUCGAAAGUGUGGGUAUCAAACAGGAUUAGAUACCCUGGUAGUCCACACAGUA